rnacentral:rRNA from 1 species
GUCUAUGGCCAUGCCACCCUGAACGUGCUCGAUCUCAUCUGAUCUCAGAAACUAAGUAGGGUUGAGCCUGGUUAGUACUUGGAUGGGAGAUCACCUAAGAAUACCAGGUGCUGUAGGCG